GGUUAAGCGACUAAGCGUACACGGUGGAUGCCCUGGCAGUCAGAGGCGAUGAAGGACGUGCUAAUCUGCGAAAAGCGCCGGCGAGGUGAUAUGAACCCUUGACCCGGCGAUGUCCGAAUGGGGAAACCCAGUGUGUUCCGACACACUAUCGUUAACUGAAUACAUAGGUUAACGAGGCGAACCGGGGGAACUGAAACAUCUAAGUACCCCGAGGAAAAGAAAUCAACCGAGAUUCCCCCAGUAGCGGCGAGCGAACGGGGAGCAGCCCGGAGUCUGAAUCAGCUUGUGUGUUAGUGGAACGGUCUGGAAAGUCCGACGGUACAGGGUGAUAGUCCCGUACACGAAAACACACUUGCUGUGAACUCGAAGAGUAGGGCGGGACACGUGGUAUCCUGUCUGAAUAUGGGGGGACCAUCCUCCAAGGCUAAAUACUCCUGACUGACCGAUAGUGAACCAGUACCGUGAGGGAAAGGCGAAAAGAACCCCGGCGAGGGGAGUGAAAAAGAACCUGAAACCGUGUACGUACAAGCAGUGGGAGCACCUUCGGGUGUGACUGCGUACCUUUUGUAUAAUGGGUCAGCGACUUAUAUUCUGUAGCAAGGUUAACCGUAUAGGGGAGCCGAAGGGAAACCGAGUCUUAACUGGGCGUUAAGUUGCAGGGUAUAGACCCGAAACC
rnacentral:rRNA from 1 species